CACAGUGUUUGUAUUUGAGCUCUAAGGAACAUGGAAAGAGGAGCCCCAAGGAGACAGGUGUGAAGGACAGGUUUAAUCCCAGCCAGAACCUUGACUGAGGAGGACCCAAGUGUGAUCGCCCAGCAAACAGCACAAUGGAAGCAUGCUGCUGCCACCCUGUGGAAAAUGGUGGCCCCCAACUGCUGGGGGCCAUUCCAGAGGUUCACAAAGCUGCAGCUGGUAUGGUGGUUACAGAGACAGAUGAGGCAGUCAUCGCCCUGAUGAGGCAAAUGGUGAACAAACUGGGGAGUUUCCUUAAAGCAAUUGCAGGAUUUGCAAGGAAGGUAUCUGGAUGCUGUGCAGCAGACUGAACCAUGAAGACAGUUGGAGCGUGCAGCAGCACAGAACAGCAAUCCAUCACCACCAUGUGGGACUCACACAGGAAUCUAUCAAGGGCUUCAUCAUGGUGACAUCUUUGCAGAGGCAGAAAGAGAAACAAAGGAAAAAGGAGAUGGAGAGAGUGAGCCAAGAAUGGAAAAUCCACACUGGAUUUCUCAAAACGUGAGAGUCAAUGAAGUAAAACAAGAUUACAGACACCAAAACAUUUUUUGGUGUUUUUAGUGUCUCAGGUAGACCUGCUUUAAAGCCACAAAUUACAAUGCCUCACACAACUGUGUUGAAUGCUCUGGUACCCUGAGACCAGCAAGGAUAAACGCAUGUAUGAAAUCACAAUAAUGUAACACAUACCUAUAUAAGGCCCUGUAUACAGCUUGACACAUGCAAAGGACAGGGGAGCACGCAGAAUGAAGAGUCCAUACACAUGGUAAGAAUGCAGAAAGUAAACUCAACAACGCACAGAGAUGCACACUCCCCAGUGCAGUGACAUGAUCAGUACAAGAGUGUGCAUUAUCUUACUUUGAUGUACAACUCCACUAUAAGAGGUAUGUCAAGUUACCCAGAAAGGAGCUUCUCUCCAUCUCCAAAAUCCAUAAGAAAACAAGUAAACAUGAUUUCUCCUAAAUCUGUUAGACACCAGAGAGAGAGGUAAAGAAAAUAUCUGCUCUUGGAGAAAACCAAAGCAAUUUACCUUUGAAUAGGAAGCAGCUGAACAAAGCACAUUAUUUCUUUUCACUCCAGAGACAAACAUUGAUGUUGUUUUGAGUCAUGCUGAUAUAGGUUAAGUAAGUGCUCCCAAAGCUGACAAAAGAUAGAAGAUGUGUUAGGACCUCUCAGAACACUAAAUCACAUGAAAACCUGGCAAAAAAGUAAAAUAAAAUAAAAUGAACAAAAGGA